rnacentral:rRNA from 1 species
CGGUUCCUACGGGGCGCAGCAGUAGGGAAUAUUGCUCAAUGGGGGAAACCCUGAAGCAGCAACGCCGCGUGGAGGAUGAAGGUUUUCGGAUUGUAAACUCCUUUUGUUAGAGAAGAUAAUGACGGUAUCUAACGAAUAAGCACCGGCUAACUCCGUGCCAGCAGCCGCGGUAAUACGGAGGGUGCAAGCGCUACUCGGAAUCACUGGGCGUAAAGAGCGCGUAGGCGGGAUAGCAAGUCAGAUGUGAAAUCCUAUGGCUUAACCAUAGAACUGCAUUUGAAACUGGUAUUCUGGAGUAUGGGAGG